GACGAACGCUGGCGGCGUGCCUAAUACAUGCAAGUAGGACGCAGUUGCGAACGGGUGAGUAAAGCGUAGGUAACUACAUAUUACAGGGGGAUAACUAUUGGAAACGAUAGCUAAUACCGCAUACUAGUAGAUGGACCUGCGUUGUAUUAGCUAUUAGGUAGGGUAAAGGCCUAACUAGGCAAAGAUACAUAGCCGACCUGAGAGGGUGAACGGCCAAACUGGGAAUGAGACACGGCCCAGACUCCUACGGGAGGCAGCAGUAGGGAAUCUUCGGCAAUGGGGGGAACCCUGACCGAGCAACGCCGCGUGAGUGAAGAAGGUUUUCGGAUCGUAAAGCUCUGUUGUUAAGGAAGCGGUACUUAACCAGAAAGGGACGGCUAACUACGUGCCAGCAGCCGCGGUAAUAC
rnacentral:rRNA from 1 species